CUGAGAUCACGAUCGGAGCCGAAGGCAGAGGUUUAACCCACUGAGCCACCCAGGUUAAAGCCAUUAGUUAAUUAAGCUCUUUGGUUUUUAGGAAGACCCCAGUGUGGUAAGCACCAAGGGUUUAGAGAUCGCAUCUUCCAAUUUGAAAGCGGCAGGGCUCUGGGCACUCCGGGGAGUAGCUGAGCCCGACCCCUUCAUGGGUGAGGGGAAUGGCUGGCUUGGGACCCCUGUGCUCCUGGGGGCACCCUCCUCCCCACCUUCUCCGACCUCCCUCCCACAUGUGGACAAGGCCCGUCUCGCUUCUGACCCAGCUCCACUGGGGACUCUGGCUGCCCUUUGGGUCUUCCAUUCUUUCUGUUUCAGGUCUCUGCUUUCUUGCUAGUUUAGCAAGGCGGCUGAAAAGAUCUCUUUAACAUUGUAUCUAGUAUUGUUAGCCUCUCCAGUGGUAGGGUUUGUUCCAGGAAGCUGGUGCGCAGCAUGCUAGAAAGUGAAAUUCAUCGUUUCUUUGGAAGAGCAGCAAUAAGGAAGUACUACAAGGUUCGCUGCAGUAGACUCUGAUACGGUGCACACCUGUUUUCCUCUUACAGGUGUGUAUAGUAACUAUUGGGCCUUGGGAGAAGGAAGCUCUCUUUAUGGUCGAGGUACCUAAGUACCUGUCUCUUAACAGCAUUAGAACUCAUUUGUUUGUACUUUCACAUCUGGUGUUUUGGGAUACAUUAAAAUUUCUGUCAAAAUGGUGUUUCAAGUUGUCAUUUGUAGUGAUGUCUCACACCUUGGGUUUUUAGGGCUGUUGGUGUCUAUUUUUAGUGUUUUGGGCCUUUGUAAUUCUUUCUCUUGGGUUGUCUCUUGUUUUAUGCCAGCAAAUAUAUUUAUACCCAUUUGGGCUUUUUAAAAGAUGGCAUUUGCUUCCAUGCGAGAGCGUCCCUGCCUGUACCUCGUUGUGUUCUGUGUAGGUGUGGAUUUGGUGGUGGCGAGCAGCUGCCCCUUCCCACUGCUGCCCUUCCCUCUAGCCUCCCACUCUGGUUUCCCAUCAGCCAAGGCUGGAACUCUGUUAGCUUUCAGCCUGCUCUGUCUCUAAUUUACACAACUUUCCAGAAGGGCAGCAUUCUCCCCAUUGUAAGAUAACGACACAGAGGAGCUUGCCGGAUCUGUCUGCGUCGGUCAGGGUCCUCCAAAGAAAUAGGAUGUGUAUAGAUAUGCAUAUAGAACAAAGUUUAUUUAUAAGGCGUUGACUCACAUGAUUAUGGGGGCUGGCAAGUCCCAAGAUCUGCAGGGGGACCUGGCAAGCUGGGGUGGACCUACGAGGGCUGAUGGCAUGAGUUCUAGUGUGAGUCUGGAGGCCUGAGAGUCAGGAGGGCUGAUGGUAUAAGUUCUGGUUUGAAGGCCAGAAGGCUUGAUGCCCUGGGAAUGUCAAAGCUUCAGUUCGAGUCCGAUGGCAGGAAGAAGGCUUGGUGUCCCAGUGGGAAGGUAGUCAGGCUCAGGGAAUUUCCUCUUUCCUGGGGGGAAAAGGUGGGGGAGGAGGGGACCUUCAACUGAUUGGAUGAGGCCCACCCACAUGGGGGCAAGGAGUCUCCUUUAUUCAGUCCACUGAUUUAAAUGUUCAUCUUCUUCCAAAACACCCUCGCUUACACACUGUGAAUAAUGUUUGACUGGAUACCUGGGCUCUCCAUGGCAUGGUGAAGUUGACAUGUGAAAUUCAUCCAUCAUACUCUCCAAACCAAAGAACGGUUUCCAGUCUAGAAUGUUAUUCUUUAGAGUAGAGCCUGGCCUUCAAUCUCCUGGGCGGAUGGAUUGAGUACCUACAAAGCAUUCUGGAGGCUGGAAGUCCGAUAUCAGGGUGUCCACAGGGCCAUACUGCCCUGAAGGUGCCAGGGAUAGAGCACCCUCCAACCAGUCUCCCGCCUUCUGGUUGUUCUUGGCUUCUGGAAGCAGAAACACGGCAGAGCCCUGUGUGUGCACCUGUGUUCAAAUUUCCCAUCUUUGUAAGAACCCCAGUCCUACUGGAUGAGGGACCUGCCCUACUCCUGUGGGACCUCAUUCUAACUACUUAUGUCUGCAGUGACCCUUUUUCCAAAUAAGACCACAUGCUGAGGUCUUCGGGGUUAGGGCUCCAACAUAGGAAUAUUAGGGGGACACAAGUCAACCAUAACAGGUCCUUCAGCUCAUACUGAACAAAGAAAACAUGAACGAAAUUAUCCUGCUCUUACGUUCAAGUGGAUGCAUCAGUCUUUGAAAAAAUUUUCCCAAGACCUGGCUAGUUAUUCCUUCUUGUCACUCUUCUUUGUUCUUGGACCUAGAAGCAUUUAUUUCUAAGCCUCUGAUUCGCUACUUCUAAUCCACUCUCUGGGACAUCAGAUGGCAAAUGCUGUUAGAAAUCUGUGUAAGUAGGGCGCCUGGGUGGCUCAGUGGGUUAAGCCACUGC